GUAGCCUCCCUGAGUUCAACCAAUCCAGUGAGGAGAAGCCGUGGGCGGGGCGGCCUCGGCUGCCAGAGCGGCGUGAAAAAUUUCCCAAGGCAGAGCGAAAACCUUUCCUGAGCGACUGAGCAUGCCCGGUGGUGAAAGGGUAUGUGGUUUAAACUCUCCACGGACUGACAAAAUCAGGUUUCUGACUCUGCAAAGCUAAGAAGACUCUGCUCCUGGAAGGCCUCUCCACUGACAGACUGAGUCAUAUUCGAAAUAUUUACCAACAGACUGAACAACUGAACAGAACAGACAACGUGCCUGGCUGUUACGCUGUCUAGGUGAAGGGAAACCAAAUGACCAGCUCAAGGACCCAUGCUAGGUGGAACCACGAGGAGCACAGGACCCAGACCACAUGACUUCCAGCUUGCUGCAUUCCUCUUUGUCCAGUCAAAGCCUCCUUAGCUGUGGGCAGGCUGCUGGUCGUCGGAGAAGCUGCCUGCAGAGAUGCUGGGACACGCUUUUUAUGAACCAGGAAUCCAGGACAAAGGUAUACCUUGGGGAGAUUGCAAUUUUUGUUCCAGACCAUCACAAUAAAGUGAGUAUCACAAUAAAACGAGUCACAUGAAAUUUUUGAAUUCCUAGUGCAACUGAAAGAUAUGUUUACACGAUAGUGUAGUCUGUUAGGCAUGCAAUAGCUUUACGGCUAAAGAAACAACAUAUAUACCUUGAUUAAAAAAUACUUUAUGGCUAAAAAAUGCUAACCAUUAUCUGAGCCUUCAGGAGUUGUAAUCCUUUUGCUGGUGGACAGUCUUGCAAUAUUUCAAACCCUCCACCAGGUGCCCACACUCAUAAGAAUAUCAAUAACUUUCCAAGUGCAAGGGUCUUAUUUCAUUUCUUAAGCAACCACAUGGCAUUUUUAUACUGAGAACUCUCUGCCCCUCCCCUCCACGGCCUCAUGUCAUCCCAAUGUCUCAGCAAGGUCUUGAAAUCUUGAAAGGUCAGAGCCCUCGAAUCUGUGCUGAUUUGGGUCACCAUUUCCUUGAGAUUUCCUUUGCCUCUUCUUUGAUUAAAGCUGUGUUUGCCUCGCCUCCCGCUUUUUAAGCAAUUACACUAAUUAAGCUAAUUUUUCUUUGUUCUCUCUUUGCAAUUUGCAUAAAUGGCAAAUUUAUAUAUAGUGUCCUUAAUUCUCCUUUAACUGCUCUGUAAUUAACAGGAUGCUCAGGCUAAAUAUAAAUAAGUACAGAAGGAAAAACAGCCUUCUGCUGAAAUACCGAUAAAGGCUGGGAGAAAAGAAAAGCAGAGAGGGGAAAACAGUUCUAAGCCCUGCUCUAAACUCAUUAUGCCUGAUUGGGUCACAGUUGGAGGAGACUAGCUAAAGGUCAGCGGCUGCAAGAGCGUCUUUCUGAGAGCCCUGCCACCUGGAGCAAUUUCAGGAUAGAAUUCGGGCUAUUUGCUUGCAGUAGUAAUACUGCACUAUUUUUCAAGGGAGUAGAGCAGCUUGGCAUGAGGGAGACAGUGGUAUGACAGUCAGUGGGGCUCAGUCUGGGGCCCUGCUCUACUUCCGACCAGUUGAGUCACCUUGGGCUAAGGAACAACAAAACCCAAUACCUGGGCUUCAGGUGCUUUCCAGGCAACACGUACUAUAACACUCAGUAACCCCCUAAUCCCAUUAUUUCCCAGAUAUAAAAAUAUUCCCACGAUAGAGAUGUGCUUAAAAUAUACUCCUAAAUCAGACGAAGUCUUUCUCCUACAAAUGCACACUCAUAUACUGACACAGGGCUUAUGCAGUAGUCCUUUGGGAAUCAGCUUGGUGUAGUGAUUAAAAAGGUGGUUCCUGGGGGCUGGUCUCAAUUCUACCUCUAGCUUUAGCUCCGUGACCUUGGAAAAAUUGCUCAACGUGUCCAAGUCCAAGUUCUCUUUUCUGCAGAGUGGCAUACAACACACUUGUGAGGCUGUUGGCAAGAUUACAGAAGCAGCAUUAACGUAUCAAUACUUAGCACCGUGCCUGAUGCCAGCAAGCCCUCAAUACCGUUUAACGUUCAUAUUUGUCAGGUCACAUGUUUCAGUUGGCAUUG